UAGAGGAAGUAAAAGUCGUAACAAGGUCUCCGUUGGUGAACCAGCGGAGGGAU
rnacentral:rRNA from 1 species